ACUCCUACGGGAGGCAGCAGUGGGAAUAUUGGACAAUGGGGGAAACCCUGAUCCAGCCAUGCCGCGUGUGUGAAGAAGGCCUUCGGGUUGUAAAGCACUUUCAGUGGGGAGGAAAGGUUGAUGGUUAAUACCUGUCAGCUGUGACGUUACCCACAGAAGAAGCACCGGCUAACUCCGUGCCAGCAGCCGCGGUAAUACGGAGGGUGCAAGCGUUAAUCGGAAUUACUGGGCGUAAAGCGUGCGCAGGCGGUCUGUUAAGCGAGAUGUGAAAGCCCC
rnacentral:rRNA from 1 species